rnacentral:misc_RNA from 1 species
UGGUUCUGGCAUCGAUGAAGAACGCAGCGAAAUGCGAUAAGUAAUGCGAAUUGCAGAAUCCGUGAGUCAUCGAAUCUUUGAACGCAUAUUGCGCCCUUUGGCAUUCCGAAGGGCAUGCCUGUCCGAGCGUCAUUAUCCACCCCUCAAACUUUCGGUUUGGUGUUGGACUCAACCGCCAGCUUUGGCACGGUUGGUCUCGAAGAUAGUGACGACGUCCUGGAAGGAACCGGUACGAGGAGCUUUUCGUUAAGCAUGUACGCGGGACGAUUCUGGCGACGGCGGUCUCCUUUAUUACUUUUGUAGUGUUGACCUCGGAUCAGGUAGGAAUACCCGCUGA